UACGGAGGGUGCAAGCGUUAUCCGGAUUCACUGGGUUUAAAGGGUGCGUAGGCGGGCUUGUAAGUCAGUGGUGAAAGCCCGGGGCUCAACUCCGGAAUUGCCGUUGAUACUGCAAGCCUUGAGUACGGUUGAGGUGGGCGGAAUACAUCAUGUAGUGGUGAAAUACUUAGAUAUGAUGUAGAACACCGAUUGCGAAGGCAGCUCACUAAAGCGUAAC
rnacentral:rRNA from 1 species